rnacentral:rRNA from 1 species
CGGCCGCAGUACCCUGACCGCGCAAAGGUAGCAUAAUCAUUUGUUCUUUAAAUAAGGACCUGUAUCAACGGCAUCACGAGGGCUAUACUGUCUCCCCUCUUUAAUCAGUGAAACUGACUUCCCCGUGAAGAGGCGGGGAUAAACAUACAAGACGAGAAGACCCCAUGGAGCUUUAAACCCAAUAAUAACCUUUAUCUCCUCACUCCUACAAAGAUAUAAAAACAUUAUAUAUUGGUUUUAGGUUGGGGCAACCACGGAGUAAAACUUAACCUCCUUGACGAAUGAAUUAAAUCCUAAUCUAAGAGCCACUGCUCUAAUAAUCAACAAUUUGACGUAACAUGAUCCGAUAAUCGAUCAACGAACCAAGUUACCCUGGGGAUAACAGCGCAAUCCAUUUCAAGAGCCCUUAUCGACAAAUGGGUUUACGACCUCGAUGUUGGAUCAGGGUAUCCCAGUGGUGCAACCGCUACUAAAGGUUUGUUUGUUCAACAAUUAAUACCCUACGUGA